rfam:Edaphobacillus lindanitolerans strain MNA4 genome assembly, contig: Ga0116976_14
GCGAUUGUGGCGAAGUGGUUAACGCACCGGAUUGUGGUUCCGGCACUCGUGGGUUCGAUUCCCAUCAGUCGCC